rnacentral:rRNA from 1 species
CAGUAGCCACGGUAAUACGAAGGGUGCAAGCGUUACUCGGAAUUACUGGGCGUAAAGCGUGCGUAGGUGGUUGUUUAAGUCUGCUGUGAAAGCCCUGGGCUCAACCUGGGAAUUGCAGUGGAUACUGGGCAACUAGAGUAAGGUAGAGGAUAGUGGAAUUUCCGGUGUAGCAGUGAAAUGCGUAGAGAUCGGAAGGAACAUCUGUGGCGAAGGCGACUAUCUGGGCCAUUACUGACACUGAGGCACGAAAGCGUGGGGAGCAAACAGGAUUAGAUACCCCUGUAGUCCCUGUCUCUUAUAA